rnacentral:rRNA from 1 species
CACGUAGUUAGCCGUGGCUUGCUUUUCCGGUACCGUCAAUGCAGUUUGUUCUUCGCACUCUGCCUUUUCGUCCCGGAUCACAGAGUUUUACAACCCGAAGGCCGUCAUCACUCACGCGGCGUUGCUCCGUCAGGCUUUCGCCCAUUGCGGAGGAUUCCCCACUGCUGCCUCCCGUAGGAGUCUGGACCGUGUCUCAGUUCCAGUGUGGCCGUUCAUCCUCUCAGACCGGCUACUGAUCGUCGCCUUGGUGGGCCGUUACCCCUCCAACCAGCUAAUCAGACGCAAACCCCCUCUUCAGGCGAUAGCUUACAGGUAGAGGCCUACUUUUUCUCCAUGGGCCAUGCGGCUCUUGGAACUUAUUCGGUAUUAGCUAGUCGUUUCCGUCUGUUCGUCCCCAUCCUGAACGGCUAGGUUGUUUACGUGUUACUCCUACCCGUUUGCCUACUCAAUUCUAGAAAAG